GGUGGUGCAGGCUGGUGCAAGUUGUCCGUUGUACUCUGUGCUGCCGCUGGCAGGCUUCUGGGGCCUGAGACGGCUACGUCUCCAUGCUCGCUCGGCCCUGCCCGCCAUCAGCCCUCAGAGGCCUCUCGCUUUCCUCAGAGGUGAGGAACUAGAGGACUGCUAAAGGUGUAGAUGGGGGCCGGGGAAAAAGUAAGGCUGAUUCCUCUACCUCAGUGGGUUCCCGGAGCUGCUUUUCUAUUUCACGGGAUCUUAAAGCGGUUUAGCCUCUGAUGUCACUAGCGGGUGCCGGGAAGAAGCUUACGACCUCGCCAGUCCAGAUCCCUGGGCCUCUGGGUUAAGCAUAGCCAGCUGUAAAUACCCGCGGAGGCCGGCCAAAGUGGCAGAGGAUAUCUUUCUGAACACAAGGAUAGCCCUGUGAGAAUCCUCAGUCAUCUUCCAGCCUUCUGAGUACUAAUAUUAAAAGAACGAGCUACCA